GAGCAGACACAUUCCAGCCAAUCAGCAGCAGACCCUCCCUCCCAGAUCCUCCCACCUCCUGGACAGCUCACUAAGAAUGCAGCUUCAAAAUGGAUGCUGUCCAGGAGGUGGGAGGGUCUGGGAGAGAGGGUCUGCUGCUGAUUGACUGGAAUGUGUCUG
rnacentral:miRNA from 1 species